rnacentral:lncRNA from 1 species
AAGGAACUCUGCAAGGAAUAAAGAGGAUUAUCCUCUGGUCACGGAAUUUAAUUAUGCUACUAAUCACCUGCGAACCUUCAGCCAGUCAUGUAAUUCCUCUGGGUCUCCGUUUCCUAAUCCCUUAAAUGGUGGUGGUUAGGAGUGUGAUGGUGGACAAGAUAAACCCUGCAGUCCUUCCAGUUCAAAAUUUCUACGAUGACCUGACAUUCAGCCUUCCAAGCAAGGCUAGGAGAUUGUGCUAAUCAGAAAAGCCAAAGGUUUGCCCUAUAUGGACAGCUUAGGCGAGGCACUUUUGUUUGAUAUACUCUUCUGUUCCAGCCUGAGGUAAGGAAAGGAAGAAGACUUUAAAACACAGGAUUCUCCAGCAGAUAACAGUCAGUUCCUCAGGGGCACUAGUUUGAGCCUGGCUGUUACCAAGGAUCUACUUUGUGCUACAGGCCAACAGCCCGGAUAAGCAUCUGGGUCCCCAGCAAGCGCUCUGUGCUUUUUUUAAAAACACGCACACAUGUUCUGCCUCUUAUUUCCUGAGCAGUCCCAACACCUGGAGUGGUCACAGUCCAAAAAAGUCAGGCCAGGAAAUUGAGUUCUUCUUGACUCCUGGCUGGGACAUUUAGCCAGGGACAUUAUGAAUGUGUUUUGUAACUAACCCUCUACAAGAGAAGACCAGGUCCCUGCCAAGGAAUUCACGAGACCCUGGAGUUCGCAAAGAGGGAAAAGAAGAGAAACCUCACUGAUCCAUCCGACAAGGAGCUGGACAAUUUGUGAUUUCAUCUCAAAUGUUCCCUUAUCUCCUACCAAGCAAAAGAAAACUAAAUAUCACUCUCCCUCCUAAAGGCACACAUACAUAAAAGAAGAAAUUUUUUAAAAGAAAGAGGAGAAGAAAAAAAACCUGGAAGCAUUUUUGAAGGCAAAAGGCUGUUUAUUGCUGCCAAAGUGCUGAUUUUUUUUUUCUGCCUCUGGCAACUGUAUGAGAAUUGGAGACUUCAGCAGAGAAGAAAUCCAUUCACUUGUCAUCGCAUAAAACCUCUGUGUUCCACAGAGGAAAUGGCAAAAUUUCACCCUUAACUGGAUUUGUAAAUUCUUACAGGGGGCUGGGAGAGGGGGUGGAGGAGAGGUCAGGCUGUUCUACAUCCUGGGGCAUUCGGUAACCUCACUGUGCCAUGUGAGGGAACGGCUUGUCCACCACAGCAGCCUUACGUCAGCAGGAGACAAAGGUAGAGGCUGAAGAGUCAGAAUGGGGCGGGCACCAGUCCCCAGCCCAGGCCACAAAAGAGCAAUUCCAGCCCACGCCACUACAGAGGGUUCCAUCUAAACGUAUUUUAAAUGACUCAAGCACUGGGGAUGUUUUCUUUUCCCUGGAGUAUAUCUCACAGCCUUUUUAAUAAUGAUUGUUCGAAACAAUUGCUUGUUAUUAAGCUUAGCACUGCCACAUUCGGUCAUUGUGCUAAGCCCAGUAUUCAUUUCCUCUUUCCCUUUCCUGCGUGUGAUUUUUCUUACUAUCCAUCUACUACCUGUCCUGCUGGAUUUACCCCCAUUCACAGAGACAAAGUAAAAACAGCAGGAGAGAGCCAAAGGUCAUCUAGUCCAUCCAGCCAUUCUUAUCAGGUCAGCUAUCCCAUUCUGACCCUCUAGGUGUGAUGUUUCCAUCUCUUUUGUCAAAUUCUCUUUGUUCUGCUGUUUUCCAUUUUGAUAUAAAAGUCAAAGUGUGGUGAUGGCAAUAUUCCUAAGCAUCCCUGUAUCAAAUUUUCCUGACUUUCAAAGUGCUGAGGUCAAGAUCCAGAAAACUCGAAACCAGAGGAAAUCAGGUUGCUAGGACGCCGGAACCGUUACGAUGCUCUCAGCCUUAAUUAGGUGUAAGUAACAUCUUGUCAGUGUUCUGCCACAUAUGCUAAAGCUGCCGGGGCAAUUUUACUGAGUCUGACAGCUGAAAUCAGAAACAAGAGAGUUAACAUGUCAAUGAUGCGGCUGGACAUGAUGGAUAUAUUAAGAGGAGUCUGGAAAAUUCUGGACUUCAUUACAUCGACUCUACUUCUCAAAAGUUCCUGUCAAAAGAAUCUCCGCCUCAUCAGAAAAGCUCCUCUGGGAUCUGAUUACACCCAAUUACAGGGCCUCCCACAGCCACCUGGACACAGGGGUACUUCUGCCCAAACUCAUUGGAGAAGUGAUUGAGGGAAGAUGAGAACAAGGAAAUUGCUGAUUUUGGUAUAAUUUCUACAAAUAGAUCUAUUGAGAUUUAAAAGGUGCAAUAACUUGACAUUUUUGGUAAGUUAAAAACUGCUUAAAAAUUGGUUUGCUGGUUGUUUCUUUUUCCAUCUUGGCCCCGGGCUAUUUUCAAAAUGAAAAGAAUGGGAUCAAGUCCUGAAAACUGAGGUGGAGUUGAAGGCAAUAAUAAAAUUUUAAAGAUGACAAAGAGGAAAGUGAUAAUCUCCUGAAAGUGUUAGAGGCACACUUGACUUUGGAUGGCAAGUUUCUCAGAAGGAAAGAAUGAGGGCAAGAAAAAGGAACUUCCUCUGCUAAGGGGCUGGCGCAUUAGCAGGUUGGCCUGAACAUGGCUCUUUCUUGUCCAGUCCUUGGGGUGCUGUCCUCUGGAAGGCGUCUGCAGCCAAGACCCCAAGAACUGGCACAGCGUGAACUGCCAUUGACAUGUCAUUUUAAGGAUGGGAGAAUGCUUGCUACCCCAGCCAGGGAGAGAGAAGAUGUAGUAACCAGGGGCAGAGCCGGUCAUGCUGAUAUGGCAUCAUAUUCCUGGAAGAUUCCAUACCUGUCUAUCAUUAAAUAGGAGGGUUGAGCCCAGGCUAAAAAUACAGUAUCAUGAGUGACUUGCAAAGGGACUCACGAAUAAUUUUUGCCUCCCCCAUUCCCUUUAAAAGUAAGAAUUGUCAAUCAAAAGUGUGUGUUUACAUUGCUGAACGAUGAGGUUUUAAACCUCAGACUUGCUGCAAAGACUCAUGUCUACGUAGUGCCGAGAGUGGAAGGCUCACAAAGGGGGAGAGUCUCCAUGGAUUUCAACAGAAGGGAACGCCUAGCUUUAUAAUGGGCCUUUCUAUAUCACCGUUUUGGCUAGGGGUCCAUAUGAAUUUGUUGUGAUAUUAGGCAGAGGCUCUAUGGCCUGGCAAUGUUGACACUGCUUCAGAAGUUUAAACAAAUGUUACGUGAGUUUUGAAGCAAUGAAUAAACGUCAAAGAAAUGGUUUGGAAACAACAGUGGGAAGGGGAAAGUAGUUGGACAUUACCUAGUAAGGAAAUCAUCUUGCCUUUCUAUUUUUUCCCCCCACAAGAAAAAAAGCAGAAAGAUUCCACACCCUUUACUCUGUUAACAAGUAAUGGAUCACUUUUCUUUCUUUUCCUUUUCUCAGUAGUGUGAAUGCUAAUUGUUUCCCCCUCUGUCUUAUGCUGGUUUGGAUUGAAACCCUCUUUCCCAAAUCACUCUGCAGGCAAUGAAUCAUCAGACCUGGUGGCUAAUGGCUCUUUUGUGAACCCAGCAGGUGUGUAACAGGCUUCCUCUAAGUGGCCUGUCCUGUGUCUCUUGCCUCUUAGACUCCCAAGAAAGGAGUCAGGGACACAUGAGAGCUCAGAGGGUCUCAGUCCUGAUCCCGUACCAAAGAAUCUUUUUCCACUAAAGAAAACACGAGGCUCUGUGGCCACGAGGACCUACAUUUCGUUUUCUCAGUGAUUAAUGCUGCAGACAAAAAUUAGGUCGAUUACAAUCUCCAGCACUCGCCUGGUAUGUCCACCCCCACAUCACUUGGCCAAGUGUAAUAAUUUCACUCAAAACAACACGAUUUUUCUUAUUUUUCAAGAAAUAUCUGUUGAGUUCAUAAUGCAUAAUGUGGCCCAUGAUAGGUUCUGGGAAAUAUGAAAACUAAUAUAAUAGCUAAUAUUGAUGGGAUAUUUACUUUGUCCCCAGCAGUAUUCUAAUUUCCUGAUAUAAAAUAACUCACUUGAUGCAUAGAUCAAGAAAUUAGUACUAUUAUGAUAUGAUCGUCUUCAUUUAAUAGAUGAGGAAAUGGAGGCGUAAAUUAAAGAACUGGAAGAGCUAGGAUUCAUAUUCAUGCAGGGUGAUUCCAGAGCCACAACGUUCUACAACCCUGCCUGCCAACAGCAAGACAUGAUCCCAGACCUCAAGGACAUCACAGUCUAUUGGUUGGACAUUAUCUAGUCAUAUAAUUGAGUAAUUGGACAUCUAAAUAUAAGUGAAUCAUACUGUGAAACACCAAGGCAUAAAACCUCAUCAGACAUUUGCUGAAGCCUCAUCUUAAUCAAAUCAGACCUGUGUUGGUCAGUCUACGAAAUGCUCUGUUCCUGAAAUACGCACCACCUCCUCAGAAAAGCUGACUUUGGCUGUUCCUUCUUCAGGAAUUGGCAGGGUCUGGAUGACAUGAACUUCCACCCUGGCCACAAAGAACAAGACCAGGAAGGAUACCUGUAUUCAUUUCCUAGGUUUGCCAUAACAAAGUACCACAAAGUUGGUGGCUGAGAACAACAGAAAUAUGUUGUUCCACAGUUGUGGAGGCUAGAAGUCCAAAAUUAAGGUGUUGGCAAGGCCUUGCUCCCUUAUAAAUCUGUAGAGCGAGGAUCCCUUCUUCCAGCUUCUGGUAGCCCCAGAUGUUCAUUGGUUUAUGGAAGCAUAAUUCAGUCUCUGCCUCUAUCCUUACAGGGCAUUCUCCCUGUGUAUCUUCCUAUUGUCUUCCCUCUAUGUAUGUCUGUCUCUGUAACCAAAUUUUUCAUGUUUGUAAAGGCAUUACCCAUAUUGGAUUAGAGCCCACACUUACAACCUCAUUUUAACUUGAUUACCUUUGUUAAGACACUAUUUCCAAAUCUGGUCACAUUCUGAGGCACAGGGGCAUUAGAAUUUCAACACAUCUCUUUUGGGCAGACACAGUUCAACCCCUAACAAUACUCUAGCCAAAUGUGAACUGAGAAACUCCACAGCCUCAGAGCUGUCCUGGCCCAAGAACUCUGCCCAAUAAGAGUGUGCCAUAUUGACUGGUAACUGAUCCACCCCAUUAGAUUCUGCCUUGAGAGUUUUGGAUUCUAGCUGGAGUUUAACAGACAAGUCCAUGGGGGUGGUGAUGUCACUGGAGCUACUUCUGAUAGACUUUGAAGACACCCCCGUCACUAAAAUGUCUCCAAAGCCUGAAAAGAAGAGUCAAGUACAGGUUCUCUACCAGGCCAAGGCAGCUGCUGAGGCCCCUUCCUGGGAUUCCUUGCUUGUUUUUACUAAAUAUAUCAAUUAAACAAACUAGACAACAGUAUUUUUUGGUCUUUUUAUGCAAACGAAUAACACUCCUGCCUAACCAAUUCUGACUUUUUUCAUCCUGUCAAAACUACACUUAAAAUUCAUAUACUAUGGAAAACCAUUCAAAGUUCAUCAUCUUUAUCUUUGGUCACUA